rnacentral:rRNA from 1 species
CCUACGGGAGGCAGCAGUGAGGAAUAUUGGUCAAUGGACGCAAGUCUGAACCAGCCAUGCCGCGUGCAGGAAGACGGCUCUAUGAGUUGUAAACUGCUUUUGUACGAGGGUAAACGCAUAUACGCGUAUCUGUCUGAAAGUACCGUACGAAUAAGGAUCGGCUAACUCCGUGCCAGCAGCCGCGGUAAUACGGAGGAUCCAAGCGUUAUCCGGAUUUAUUGGGUUUAAAGGGUGCGUAGGCGGUCGGUUAAGUUAGUGGUGAAAUCCCGGGGCUCAACUUCGGAAUUGCAGUUGAUACUGGUCGGCUAGAGUGUAGUUGCGGUAGGCGGAAUGUAUGGUGUAGCGGUGAAAUGCUUAGAGAUCACACAGAACACCGAUUGCGAAGGCAGCUUACUAGGCUACAACUGACGCUGAGGCACGAAAGCGUGGGGAGCAAACAGGAUUAGAUACCCGGGUAGUC